GACGAACGCUGGCGGCAUGCCUAACACAUGCAAGUCGAACGGUAAGGCCCGCUUCGGUGGGCACACGAGUGGCGAACGGGUGAGUAACACGUGGGUAACCUGCCCUUCACUGGGGGACAGCCGAGGGAAACUUCGGCUAAUACCGCAUGAUGUGCGCCUUCUCAAGAAGGCGUACCAAAGCUCCGGCGGUGAAGGAUGGGCCCGCGGCAGAUUAGCUUGUUGGUGGGGUAACGGCCUACCAAGGCGACGAUCUGUAGCUGGUCUGAGAGGACGAUCAGCCACACUGGGACUGAGACACGGCCCAGACUCCUACGGGAGGCAGCAGUGGGGAAUCUUGCGCAAUGGGCGAAAGCCUGACGCAGCAAUGCCGCGUGAGGGAUGAAGGUCUUAGGAUUGUAAACCUCUUUCAGCAGGGACGAAAACAGACGGUACCUGCAGAAGAAGCCCCGGCUAACUACGUGCCAGCAGCCGCGGUAA
rnacentral:rRNA from 1 species